GGGCUCUUAGUUCAGCUUGGCGGAACGCUUCCUUGGCAGGGAAGAGGCCCUGGGUUCAAAUCCCAGAGAGUCCA
rnacentral:tRNA from 1 species